rnacentral:rRNA from 1 species
CCUACGGGUGGCUGCAGUGAGGAAUAUUGGUCAAUGGACGAGAGUCUGAACCAGCCAAGUAGCGUGAAGGAUGACUGCCCUAUGGGUUGUAAACUUCUUUUAUAUGGGAAUAAAAUGUUCCACGUGUGGGAUUUUGUAUGUACCAUAUGAAUAAGGAUCGGCUAACUCCGUGCCAGCAGCCGCGGUAAUACGGAGGAUCCGAGCGUUAUCCGGAUUUAUUGGGUUUAAAGGGAGCGUAGGUGGAUUGUUAAGUCAGUUGUGAAAGUUUGCGGCUCAACCGUAAAAUUGCAGUUGAAACUGGCAGUCUUGAGUACAGUAGAGGUGGGCGGAAUUCGUGGUGUAGCGGUGAAAUGCUUAGAUAUCACGCAGAACUCCGAUUGCGAAGGCAGUUCACUGGACUGCAACUGACACUGAGGCUCGAAAGUGCGGGUAUCAAACAGGAUUAGAUACCCGAGUAGUC